UAUAUAUUGAUGCGAUCGAGGAUUGGGUUGACAGACCGGACCUCGGGACGAUAUAAUCCGGUGGUCACAGAAUUCCAUUCGUACGUAUAGAGAAGGUGGCGUUCUUCUUCCGACCCCAACGACCUCUCACUCCACCCCAGUUGCCAACCGUCCGUCUGGUCGAACUCAGAUCGCCCCCAUCGUCACCCCCUUUUGGAAGUCGCAGUCACCGCCGGCGACGAGGAUGAGGACGUGCCCCUCUCAAACCCCGAUCGAUCACGAUUUGUGGCAAAGUCGGGUUCGUGAUGCGGCAAUCCAAGACCCUCAAGAUCGGCGCUAACCAUCUUGUUGUACCGACGAUUUUGAUCCAGGAGGAUGCGGGAGACGAUAAGUCAUGCCUGUUACAUUUUGCUGAUCGCGAAGUAGGAGAUGAUCUGCAUCCGCUUCGGCCGUGUGGAAAGUAAGCAUUUCGUUACGAAUUUUCAUCUAUUGGCCGUAGGUUAAUAUUUGGUUUAUGGUUUUGGUUUUCAUUGGGAAGUUUUCUUUUCUUGCUUAUAUCUGUGGUUGCCGAAGUUCUUCAGCCGUAGGAAAAUCCCUAACUUGGUGUUCAAACUACCAAAAUCUUCUACCAACUUCGUUGCUGUUGCAGAUCAUAAUUGUGAAAAUACUACUACCAUAAAAUAUGUAAGCAGUCAUAUAAACUGAACCUCAAUCGAGUUUGCAGAGUUCAUGUGAACUUUUAGGGAGAGCUUUCCAAGUUGGAUCUCAAAUUAUAUUUCUUUCAUGAUUGGAAAAUUGGAGCUUGGAUUAGGCAAGUGGAGGAUUUAUCUAAGAGUUGUUCCUUGAUCCUUAAAAGUCCUUACUGUCUACUGCAUGUAGUUGAUCUGGAAGGGCCUGAACGAGACAGUUUUCAAGGGGGGUGAAGGUCUCUUCUUCCUCCAUCAUAUAUAGAGCAAUUGCCUAUUGUCUCUUGCUAUGAAGUGUUUAAUCGGUCUGAAGGCUGGUGGGGGAUAAGUCACAUAUUGGUUAGCUAGAAAAAAUAAACAUAAUUUAUAUGGUUAAAAAUGAAUUGAAAGUUAGCACUUUGAGCCAUCAAGGCUGGAAGUGGAAUCUGAUUCUUAACUAUUUAUCAACAUUUUGAACAAGGAGAAGCCUUCUCUUUGGUUCUUGCUUACUUCUGUUUGGAAAACUAUUACCCUAAAUAACAAUAUUUUUAAUGUAAAAAUUCCCAUGCAAUUCCUGAGGGAAUUGCAUAUCAUGAAGGUUGCCAAGUAAGGUAAAAUACUUGUCUAUUGUAGCACUAUUGCUGUGGAUGACUAUUGUUGUUCUCUGGGAGUAACCUACAUUUAUAAUAUAAUUAAAAUCUUAUGCGUAGAUUAGCAAUGACAUGUGGCUGUAGUUUAGUGGUUAGAAUUCCACGUUGUGGCCGUGGAGACCUGGGCUCGAAUCCCAGCAGCCACAAAUAUUUAUCGUUUUCUUUUAAUUAUGAUUUUUGAUAUGCUUUAUAGAUUAAAUCGUCAACUUGUUUUGCUUCAAUUAGCAUCCCAGCAGCCACAUUUGCUUGUCGUUUUCUUUCAAUUAUGCUUUUUGAUACGAUUUCUAACUUAAUUCGUGAUUUUUUUUUGCUUCAAUUAGCGUUUUGAUCUGCUUUAUAGCUUACAAGGGUGAGAACUAUAGGAAUAACUUAAUUUUUGACGUUGUUGUCACCUCAACCUUCUCACUGUCAGAUAUGCUGAUACAGCAUAAACCUGUGAAUCGUAGGAAUAAAGGAUGUCACACAACCAUAUCUAUGAACCAAAGCAUGGCCGCGCAUCAGGCAUCCAGUGAAGAAUAUUCGUCCCAAAUAUCUGUGCAUUGCAUCGAUCUCACCACACGCAACUCAUAAAUUCCUUUCGGCUACAACCCACACUGACAACAAAACCCACAUCAUUUCAGUUCUAUUUACGUAAGGAGACAUGAAAAGAUAAAAAGUAUCCAUCUCAUGUGAAUGCGUACAACACCAGAGUGUUCUGGACCCACAGAAAGAGCUACCCUCGACGGCAGCUAGCGAACAGCAAGCUUCCCCCUCCCCACCCUCCCCCACGGCUCUCUCUUGCAUGCCCACCAUCUUCCGCGUUCCAGAACAAGGCCAUGUCUCUUCACUUCGCCAUCUCUCUGCAGCUUCUGUCCUUCAUGCAUCCUGCUCCAUCUUCUCUCACCCUCAAACCGCAGCCCCCGCCGGCUCCGCGGCCACGGACGAGUCGGCGAGCGAAGCCCGGCACAGCGGGCAGCUCGUGUGAGCCUUUAACCACUCGUCCACGCACUCCACAUGGAACGUGUGGCCGCAGCUGGGCAGCACUUUGACCUUAUCCCCCUCCGUCAGGCUACUCAGGCAUAUCGAGCACUGCGCCUCCUCGCCGGCCUCCAAGUCCCGGUGCAGGUGCACCGGGAAGCUGUCGAUGAUCCGCGGAUCGAGGCCUGCUGUGCGAUGCGAUGUCGCGGCCGACGACAUGCUCACCGGGGCGGUUUCGGCCCCCCAUUGCGGACGGUGGCGGCACGCCCACCUCACGUAGAGGCAGAUGAGGGUGAAGAAGAGGAGAAUGGUAAAGGAGAUGAGAAGGAAGAGGAGACCCCGGCCACGGACGUGGAAGUUCUUGUCGUCGAGCGCGUCGUAGUGCCAACGGAAGGGCUGAGCGUCCUGUGCUGCCAUCCUCACCGGUGUUGGUGGUGGUGGUGGAUAUGGAUUCGAGUUUGGGCUUUUAUGAGGGUGGGGAUGGCUCGGCGAGUGGCUUCCAAAGGAUGAAAGCGUCGAGUGGUGCAAGAGGGUUUCGGCCCAUGCCAUGCCAUCCCAUUCACCUCGCUUUCCAGCUUGCCCUUCGUCUCACAUUAAAGAAAAGGGUAGUUUUGGCUCAUCUCAUUCACUGUUGUUGGUGGAGAUGGCGGUGUUUCUACGCAAAGAACGAAGAGCUGGCCAGGGAUGGCAGAGCCGUUCUGCAUGAAGGUUUCUAAUCCCCAGUUUUGGUAUAGGCUGAUACGAAAUAAAACUUCCAAUUAAAGGGCUGUGGCGGUCAGCAAUUAAUUGAGAGGUAAGAAGUCAGGAUACUUCUCGGUCCUUCCAGCUAAUUGCUGAGGGUGCGACAGGAGGGAUUUGGAAGCUUGCUUGUUGUGUAUCGAUUUGCUUCACGCACGCUAUCUUGCUUUAACCCCUCUGUUUGCCAGCACAAUGAGAAGUAGACAAGAUGUCGCUAAUGGUGUUGGGUUGCGCGACGUGAUGAUCACGCGCAUAAAUAAAUUCUUGAAAUAUACACA